rnacentral:rRNA from 1 species
CUGCUGCCUUCCGUAGGAGUUUGGGCCGUGUCUCAGUCCCAAUGUGGCCGUCCACCCUCUCAGGCCGGCUACUGAUCGUCGCUUUGGUAGGCCGUUACCCUGCCAACUGGCUAAUCAGACGCGGGUCCAUCAUAUACCACCGGAGUUUUUCACACUGAGUCAUGCGACUCCGUGCGCUUAUGCGGUUUUAGCAGCAAUUUCUCGCUGUUAUCCCCCUGUAUAUGGCAGGUUACCCACGCGUUACUCACCCCG